CUGGGGCAUUUCCACCGAGGCAGCUUCCUCCACUUCCUCCCACGCGAAAGACAGCACAUUAGCAGCUAAUUCAUGGGACAAAAGGAAGAGGCAGUGCAGAUCAGUGAGCCUGGGAGCAGAUGAUGAAUGCCAGGGGGUGUCUUCGCUGCAACAAGCACUCAGCCCUGCAGCGUGACUCAGAGAGUGGCCUCGGGCAAUCCACCAGCCUGAAACCACAGGACAGGACUGGCAAUCUCAGCACAGAGCACUGAUCCUGUCAUCAUUUAAAGACUCAGAAGCGGUCACAAGGGGGAGUGGAUCAGAGCCAUUCUGGACUUCUCACGGCCAGCUCAGACGCUCGCAUAUGUGACAUGCACAGGGUGCCCACGACUUCCUGGACCUUUGGAUGGAGCCCCCGGCCACCUGGAGGGAGCAUUGAAACGGAUGAUGCUAAACUCGCACUCUAAACUCGCACUUGGCGUUGCCUUCUCAGGUCCCAGCACCUGUGCAGAGGCCUCUCAGGGUGUGACAGUCCCCUGCUGAAUGGCACCUUCCCCUCCAGCACCUGCAGGGCUUCCCUGCCCACUGCACCUGCCUUGCCCCAGCAUGCCUGCCUGACCCUGGAGAAGGAUGGAGAUGCAGGGUUUUGUGGGGAGUGCCAGGAAGAGGCCUCCUCGGGGGAGGGAAGCUGAUAGCAGCCCCGCCCUCACCUGCCCCAGCAGCUGAGCUCAUCCCCUGGGGGGCACUCAUGCUCCCUAGAAGUGACAGGUGGGCCCACUAUCCACAGGCCGGCAGAACGCAGCUCCUUUGGGGUGGGGGAAUUCCUGCCCUGGCCUUGGCCACAGAGCCCCAGGAUGAGUUUUGUGACAGAGCCAUCCCCACACACCCACUGAAUGAGAACGGAGGCCCAGCCUGGAGGCGGGGGCUGGAGGGAGUGCAGAGGGCAUGAGGAGGCACUCCAGCCAUUCCUCCUUCUAAGUGGGACCUCCCUGGGAGGACAGAUGACUGCUGCAUUAGGAGGGUGUUUCAGGCCCACCUGCCACUUCCAAGGAGCGUAAGUUGGCAAUGUUGGAAAUCAGCCUACAGCUGCUCCUCGAGGUGACCCCAUCAAGGGACCAGGACUACGGGACUAGCAACGCAGUUGGUUGAAUCCAAGGAUGCUGAACCUGUGGAUCCAGAGGGUCGACUGUGUCUAUGAAGGCGGUAAGUAACCCCAGG
rnacentral:lncRNA from 1 species